rnacentral:rRNA from 1 species
AACGAACGCUGGCGGCAGGCCUAACACAUGCAAGUCGAGCGAGAACUUCGGUUCUAGCGGCGGACGGGUUAGUAACGCGUGGGAAUAUGCCCUUCACUACGGAAUAGUCCCGGGAAACUGGGUUUAAUACCGUAUACGCCCUUCGGGGGAAAGAUUUAUCGGUGAAGGAUUAGCCCGCGUUGGAUUAGGUAGUUGGUGGGGUAAUGGCCUACCAAGCCGACGAUCCAUAGCUGGUUUGAGAGGAUGAUCAGCAACACUGGGACUGAGACACGGCCCAGACUCCUACGGGAGGCAGCAGUGGGGAAUCUUAGACAAUGGGGGCAACCCUGAUCUAGCCAUGCCGCGUGAGUGAUGAAGGCCUUAGGGUUGUAAACCUCUUUCGCCUGUGACGAAGCGCAAGUGACGGUAACAGGUAAAGAAGCACCGGCCAACUACGUGCCAGCAGCCGCAGUAAUAC